rnacentral:misc_RNA from 1 species
GAUAAAUUCUGGAUCAAGAUUGGGAUGCAAGAAGGGGAAUAAAAAUAAGUAAUGACUUAUUGGGAUGAGGUUUAUGAAAAGUUGGAUAGAUUGGAUUAAAAGUCGUUAUCCUUGCUAUAGACGCUAGGGGUUGGUUGGAUCAGUACUUAUUAAUGACAUUUCCUUUAAUGCUGAUCACUGAAUUCUUUUACUUAUUUUCUUCUUCUCCUGUAAUUUGUUCAGAAUUUUG